CCUACGGGUGGCAGCAGUAGGGAAUCUUCCACAAUGGGCGCAAGCCUGAUGGAGCAACGCCGCGUGUGUGAUGAAGGCUUUCGGGUCGUAAAGCACUGUUGUAUGGGAAGAACGGGUUUAAGAGGAAAUGCUUAAACAGUGACGGUACCAUACCAGAAAGGGACGGCUAAAUACGUGCCAGCAGCCGCGGUAAUACGUAUGUCCCGAGCGUUAUCCGGAUUUAUUGGGCGUAAAGCGAGCGCAGACGGUUGCUUAAGUCUGAAGUGAAAGCCCACAGCUCAACUGUGGAAUGGCUUUGGAAACUGGGCAACUUGAGUGCAGUAGAGGUAAGUGGAACUCCAUGUGUAGCGGUGGAAUGCGUAGAUAUAUGGAAGAACACCAGUGGCGAAGGCGGCUUACUGGACUGCAACUGACGUUGAGGCUCGAAAGUGUGGGUAGCAAACAGGAUUAGAUACCCUCGUAGUC
rnacentral:rRNA from 1 species